UGGGGUGUAGCUUAGAGGUAGGGUGCUAUCCAUGCCUAGCAUGUGUGGGACCUGGGUUCCAUCCCCAGCACUACAG
rnacentral:tRNA from 1 species